ACUGCGGAGGAUCAUUAU
rnacentral:rRNA from 1 species